CCUUCGAUAGCUCAGUUGGUAGAGCGAGGGACUGUAGUUGUUCGAAGCAAUAAACCUAGGGUCAUGGGUUGGAAUCCGGUUCGAAGGA